rnacentral:piRNA from 1 species
UCCAAUUCCAGGUCCAGAUGAUGCGCAGA